rnacentral:rRNA from 1 species
GGGGAGUGGCGCGANAAUGCAGNUCGAAGAAGUACAAUACUUAAUGGCAGACGGGUGAGUAACAUGCCGCUUAUCGUCCCAUUGGUGAGGAAUAACACGAGGAAACUUGUCCUAAUACCUCAUAAGUCUUUACGGAGAAAGCUUUAUGCGCCGAUGGAUGACCCUGCACUUGAUUAGUUUGUUGGUAGGGUAAUGGCCUACCAAGACAAUGAUCAAUAGCUGAUUUGAGAGGAUGAUCAGCCACAUUGGGACUGAGACACGGCCCAAACUCCUACGGGAGGCAGCAGUAGGGAAUCUUGCACAAUGGGGGAAACCCUGAUGCAGCGAUGCCGCGUGAGUGAAGAAGGCCUUUGGGUUGUAAAGCUCUUUCGUCGGGGAAGAAAAUGACUGUACCCGAAUAAGAAGGUCCGGCUAACUUCGUGCCAGCAGCCGCGGUAAUACGAAGGGACCUAGCGUAGUUCGGAAUUACUGGGCUUAAAGAGUUCGUAGGUGGUUAAAAAAGUUGGUGGUGAAAUCCCAGAGCUUAACUCUGGAACUGCCAUCAAAACUUUUUAGCUAGAGUAUGAUAGAGGAAAGCAUAAUUUCUAGUGUAGAGGUGAAAUUCGUAGAUAUUAGAAAGAAUACCGAUUGCGAAGGCAGCUUUCUGGAUCAUUACUGACACUGAGGAACGAAAGCAUGGGUAGCGAAGAGGAUUAGAUACCCUCGUAGUCCAUGCCGUAAACGAUGUGUGUUAGACGUUGGAAAUUUAUUUUCUGUGUCGCAGCGAAAGCAAUAAACACACCGCCUGGGGAGUACGACCGCAAGGUUAAAACUCAAAUGAAUUGACGGGG